rfam:Candidatus Yonathbacteria bacterium RIFCSPLOWO2_01_FTLL_43_27 rifcsplowo2_01_scaffold_1331, whole genome shotgun sequence.
GCUGGGGUGGCGAAAUUGGUAGACGCAACUGCCUUAGGAGCAGUCGGGGUAACCUGUGGAGGUUCGAGUCCUCUCCCCAGCA